UACGGAGGGUGCAAGCGUUAAUCGGAAUUACUGGGCGUAAAGCGCGCGUAGGUGGUUAGGUAAGCGAGAUGUGAAAGCCCCGGGCUUAACCUGGGAACGGCAUUUCGAACUGUCUGACUAGAGUGUGGUAGAGGGUAGUGGAAUUUCCUGUGUAGCGGUGAAAUGCGUAGAUAUAGGAAGGAACACCAGUGGCGAAGGCGGCUACCUGGACCAACACUGACACUGAGGUGCGAAAGCGUGGGGAGCAAACAGG
rnacentral:rRNA from 1 species